GCAAUGCCUUAACCCCUUUGUAGCUGCGUCCAGGUUCGCGCUUGGGACCCCUCUAUCUCGCCUUCUCCAAGGCUGCGUAAGUCGGUCCCAAGCCCCUCUGCUGGUCUCCUGCCACCCCCCAAACCCCUUGGGCUCGGCCCCCAGGCUCUGAUCUGUAACAAAUGCGGUGGGACCGCGCCCUCCACCACAUCUUUGGCGACUGGGAGGAGACCCUCGGGUUUGGGGAAGGGGUCCCAGAUGCCGACCCCAGCCCCAUUCCUCUCCCACUCCUGCUCUUCCGGACGCGGCCUCCCAGCGGAGGGCUUGAGACUGCAAGUCUGCAAGGUGGGGGCAGGGCGAGUUGUCCCAGGUGGAUCCGACGGCGCUGAGGGUAUAUCCAAGCGGCCCGCAGGCUGGCGUGUGGGAGGCCUCGAGGGGCAGCGACUACGUCCGGCGGCAAACGGAGCCCGUUUGAAACUUGCUGUUCGCAGAGGCGCACUGCCCGCGGGGGGGCGGGGGGUGGGGGGAAAGGAGGGCGACGAGGAAAAAGAUCUACAUUACAAUCGUGCAGGGUGCGAGUGCUUUCUCACUCGGUGUCCUGCACUGGGCACGAGGUCCGGCCCGACCCCUACGCCGCAUUAGGGGGUGAGAGGGAGUGAGGUCAGGACUUCGUCCCUCACUCGAAGUAUCAGCUUCGCACGCGCGUGCUGCGUUCUGCGCCGGGAUUUGGCCCUGGAGGACUGCCGGGAGGAAGCCGGCUUGUACUGGAGGUCUUAGCCUCGAAUACUGCGAAUAUGGUGGGGAAGCAAGCCAGGCCUAGGGUUCAGCAUUAGUAAAAGCCUGGAGCUACAAAGGGUGAUUUCAGGGAGGACCACUGAAUGUUUUUUUCCUAAGCCUUUGCCCUAGGUGGUAAAAUCAGGAGUGCCUCAAAUGGCCUAAGUGAACAUUGCCCUCACCAAACAAGCCUCCUUAUCAAAUCGACCAGGUGCAAUCUUGACUUAUCUCUGAGUAGCAGGCUUCAGUUCUCUGUCAGCCUGUGGAAUCAUUCAAACAAGCCAAUCACGUUCCCUGCAGGAAUGAUGGGCUCACCUCACCCUCUUGUUGCUACAAAGCCUGUCCUGCCCAGCUUCUGGUUGUACACUGUAUUUCUGAGUGCGACACCUGGAUGGUCCUGUGUGACCUGUGGUGUCCUCCUUCGCUGAGCUGUAAGGAUAUAGGUGCCCAAUAAACUGCUGUCAAUCUCC